rnacentral:rRNA from 1 species
UACGUAGGAUGCAAGCGUUGUCCGGAAUUAUUGGGCGUAAAGAGCGCGCAGGCGGUCUAUCAAGUCAGAUGUGAAAUAUCCCCGGCUUAACCGGGGAGGGGUCAUUUGAAACUGGUAGACUAGAGUACAGCAGAGGAUAGUGGAAUUCCCGGUGUAGUGGUGAAAUGCGUAGAUAUCAGGAAGAACACCCGUGGCGAAGGCGGCUCUCUGGAACGCAACUGACGCUGAGACGCGAAAGCGUGGGGAGCAAACAGG